ACACACACACACACACACACACACACACACACACACACAGAGAGAGAGAGAGAGAGGGAGAGAGAGAGAGAGAGAGGCGCGCGUUAGCUUGCUAGUCUCUCUCCUUCCCCCAGCUCUCUGGCUGCCUGCCUCUUUGCUACAUCUGUAUAAAAGUAUUGGGAAGGCCCACACACUGUGUCUAUGAGAGUUGGCUAGGGCUUGUUUCCUGCCUCGCGUGCUUCCAGCCUAAGAAUGAUCAUACUUAUAGAGAGACUUAUUUGUCUUAGAGAAUUUUUCCUGUAUUAUUUCUCAAACUCUAGGAGGAAGCACUUUUCUAUUUGUUUCCAUAUAAACCCAGCACAAUUCAUUAAAAAAAAAUUAAGUUGUGCCCCGCACCUUUAGAUGGCAAACAUGGAAAACAAGUCCCAAAUUCAAAUAUCGUGAUAACCAUCCAGCUACCAUGUACUGUGGCAGCACAGGCCUGGACCAAACCCAUUUGUCCUGAAUUUUAGUCGGCUAACGAUGGACGAUGUAGGUAUAGAAAAUAUGGUAAAGAUCCUAAUGUUCAUGUGCACAAGGAGCUCAUCAGAGUUUCAGAGAAGAGAUGGUAAUGGCAGACCGAAUACAAUGGCAAGUGCAUAAUUUCAAAGCGAAUAAAUGUGUAAUUUGCUGCUGUUUCUCACUGGUUAGAAAUUGAAAGAGAGCUGCAAAUUAUUUGAUAGUUAUGAACCAUCGCGAUGACCGCUUGACUCCCCCUCCCGCAUCGCCAUCUACAGCUUAAGCCAUGUUCAGUUUGUCUGCUACACUGUGUUAACUGCAUUAAUGCUUUCUUUGUCCCAGAUAAAAUGAGAUUCGGUCCCCACUCAGGAAAUAUCCUCAAGAAUGUCCUGUUUCACGUAAGGGGCGCAUUUGGGAUUGACUGCUAACUUUGGCCAUUAGCAGAAUUGGGUUAGCGUGAAUAAGGUACAUUUCUUAUGCUAAUAUGGAUGAGACUAAUGGCAUUUGAAAUCAGCCAGCCUAAAAAAUAAAUCACUGGUUUGCUGAAGGACUACCCCAGACUUCUACAAAGCUGAUCUAAACCCUUCCAAUCGCAUGUUUCAUUUCUUUUAGAGUGUUCAAAGGCACUGGACAGCCAUUCCAAAUAGCAUGUUCCCCAAAUCCAUGAAUCUCUUCAGACCCCACUUUUUUUUUUAAAAGGAUUUGUAACUUGGAAAGCACUACAGAUGGAAACCAGGCACACAGAGUUAGCAUUUGGCAGGGAAAUCCAUAUAACUGACUUUCAGUACAGCUCUUUUGCCCUUAUUUAAUUUAGAAAAAUUCAGAAAAAAGCCAAUGAGCUCAUAAGUCUAGAUGUUUAUUUUGUUUUGCUUAACCUACCCACAGGCGCAAUCAAGAAUGGAUACAAUUUUAGGCAAGGGAAGUGAGCUAGUAAUCAGACAAUGAUGUUUCCAAUUGUCUCAAGGGAAUGUUACAGAAGUCUGAAAAAAAAUUCCUCUAAACAAAAAUCAAGUGUAAUUCACUUUAUGAAUGCCAUACACCACUUUUGUGGGGGGUGGAAGUUGCAGGGGUCGGAUGGGAAUGAGAAAAAUCAAACAAACCAUGGUAGUGUUACAACUCCCCUAAGAUGGAGAGAUCUUGUCUUGGAGAGGGCCUUGGAAAGCACUAGAAUGGAUGCAGAAGGCUGAAUGCACCUAUGUGUAAAAGGCAGCCUCCAAGGACCAAAAUCACUCGCAGUUGCUGGAAAUUGAUGAAAGAAAAAAAAAUUCCAAAGGAAAAUUCUUGAAACAAAGAGUUUGUUUUUAAAUGUGAGUGUGUUUGUGUGUGUGUGAGUGUGCAUGCACUCUGAAAACUAGCAAACCUAUCUGUGUUGCCAGCUGUGGGUCCCCAAUUAUUUUGAAACAACUAAGUCCAAAUGUUGGGAGAGACAAUGAGAACCGAGGUAUGGGAGAAUUUUUUUUCUCUCCUCUGAGAUUUCACUAGACAUUUAGAAGAGCAGGUGAUUUGUCAAAACUUUUCAAAAGUUGUACUGUCCUGUGCUAACUUUGAGGAGUUUGGAAAAUUCUUUUAGAUGUGCUCUGAAUGUAUUUAGUGCAUAAAUCCUUACUGAGAAGUUAUUUAGAAGGAGCCAUCAUUCUGAUGGAGAUGGCGGAUGAUUGGUGGGGCUCCUUGGCAGGCUUGCUUUAGGUGCUGGGGGUGCCGAGAGGAGUAAGAUGCAGUCCCCUUUGUCAAGGAGCUUGCAGUAGAGUGGGGGAGCACACGAGUAAACAAGCUUCCCAGGAAACUUGUAGG
rnacentral:lncRNA from 1 species